ACAACCCAGGUGUCCACCCACGGAGGAAUGGAUAGAAAAAUGUGGUCCGUCCACACACUGGAAGAUUAUUCAGCCUUAAGAAGGAAGGACAUCCUGACACCUGCCACCGCCUGGACAAACUUUGAGGACAUAAUGUGGAGUGAGUGAGAUCUUCCCUGACCACCGUGACACAGAAUGAGUGCGCUGCUCAAUCCCUACAUACCCCGGAGGAUGAGAAAGUUCUGGAAGGAGAGAGUAGGGGUGGUGGCACAGCAUUGUGACGGUGCUUAACGCCACAGAACUGUACCAUCCAACGUGGUGAAAAGGGCUUGCCCCAGUGGAUACCAGUAUCGCCAGGAGAGCUUGUGGAAGCAAGGACGGCUGACUGGGUGCCCACCUGGCCCCUCUGGAGUUUCUCAUUCACAUCCGGGCUGGGACCCAGUCAUUUCUAACGAGUUCCUGGGUGAUAGCGCUGCCGCUGGUCCAGGAACCCUACUUUGAGAACCAAGGCUCUGUGCUUUCCAGUAUCAGCAGCCCCUGGUCACAGGUGGUUAUUGGGGCCCUUGAGACUUGGCCUGGCCAAAUCAUGAUGGGCUGUGAGCGUUAAAAUGCGUACCGGGUUUCAAGGAGUACCACAGUGUGGGGAACGAGAAUGCAGUUCAUUCAUUCAUAAUUCAUUCAUAGUCAUUCAUUAGUCAUU